rnacentral:rRNA from 1 species
UUCGGAUCGUAAAGCUCGUGGUGGGGGGAGAAGAAGAAGUCGGUGAAGAGCCGGCCCUGACGGUAUCCCCUUAGCAAGCACCGGCUAACUCCGUGCCAGCAGCCGCGGUAAUACGGAGGGUGCAAACGUUGCUCGGAAUCAUUGGGCGUAAAGCGCGCGUAGGCGGCUGAACAAGUUGGAUGUGAAAGCCCUGGGCUCAACCUAGGAUGUGCAUUCAAAACUGUUCGGCUUGAGUCUCGGAGGGGGUCAGAGAAUUCUCGGUGUAGAGGUGAAAUUCGUAGAUAUCGGGAGGAACACCAGUGGCGAAGGCGCUGACCUGGACGAUGACUGACGCUGAGGCGCGAAAGCGUGGGGAGCAAACAGGAUUAGAUACCCUGGUAGUCCACGCCGUAAACGAUGAGUGCUAGACGCUGGCGGAUUGACCCCGUCGGUGUCGAAGCUAACGCGUUAAGCACUCCGCCUGGGGAGUACGGUCGCAAGACUAAAACUCAAAGGAAUUGACGGG